rnacentral:rRNA from 1 species
AGUCGGCCCCUAAGGCGAGGCAGAGAUGCGUAGCUGAUGGGAAACAGGUUAAUAUUCCUGUACCGAUCUAUAGUGCGAUGUGGGGACGGAGAAGGUUAGCUCAGCCAACUGUUGGAUAUGUUGGUUCAAGCCUGUAGUUAUGGUCCUUAGGCAAAUCCGGGGAUCUUAGAUGAGGGGUGAUAACGAGUCUGCUUGCAGACGAAGUGAGUGAUACCAUGCUUCCAGGAAAAGCCACUAAGCUUCAGCUAUAGAUUGACCGUACCGCAAACCGACACUGGUGCGCGAGAUGAGUAUUCUAAGGCGCUUGAGAGAACACUGGAGAAGGAACUCGGCAAAUUGACACCGUAACUUCGGAAGAAGGUGUGCCUUUAGUAGGUGAACCAUUGACUUGGGGAGCCCAAUGAGGUUGCAAAGAAUCGGUGGCUGCAACUGUUUAAUAAAAACACAGCACUCUGCAAAGACGAAAGUCGACGUAUAGGGUGUGACGCCUGCCCGGUGCUGGAAGAUUAAUUGAUGGGGUGCAAGCUCUUGAUCGAAGUCCCAGUAAACGGCGGCCGUAACAAUAACGGUCCUAAGGUAGCGAAAUUCCUUGUCGGGUAAGUUCCGACCUGCACGAAUGGCGUAAUGAUGGCCACACUGUCUCCUCCAGAGACUCAGCGAAGUUGAAAUGUUUGUGAUGAUGCAAUUUCCCCGCGGAAAGACGGAAAGACCCCAUGAACCUUUACUGUAGCUUUACAUUGGACUUUGAACAGAUCUGUGUAGGAUAGGUGGGAGGCUUUGAAGCGGCGGCGCUAGCUGUCGUGGAGCCAACGUUGAAAUACCACCCUGGUGUGUUUGAGGUUCUAACCUUGUCCCGUUAUCCGGGAUGGGGACAGUGUAUGGUGGGCAGUUUGACUGGGGCGGUCUCCUCCCAAAGUGUAACGGAGGAGUUCGAAGGUACGCUAGAUACGGUCGGAAAUCGUGUUGAUAGUGCAUUGGCAUAAGCGUGCUUGACUGCGAGACUGACAAGUCGAGCAGGUACGAAAGUAGGACAAAGUGAUCCGGUGGUUCUGUAUGGAAGGGCCAUCGCUCAACGGAUAAAAGGUACUCUGGGGAUAACAGGCUGAUACCGCCCAAGAGUUCAUAUCGACGGCGGUGUUUGGCACCUCGAUGUCGGCUCAUCUCAUCCUGGGGCUGUAGCCGGUCCCAAGGGUAUGGCUGUUCGCCAUUUAAAGAGGUACGUGAGCUGGGUUUAAAACGUCGUGAGACAGCUUGGUCCCUAUCUUCCGUGGGCGCUGCAAGAUUGAGAGAGCCUGCUCCUAGUACGAGAGGACCGGAGUGGACGCACCUCUGGUGUAUCGGUUGUCACGCCAGUGGCAUUGCCGAGUAGCUAAGUGCGGAAGAGAUAACCGCUGAAAGCAUCUAAGCGGGAAACUCGUCUCAAG